UCCCAAAAUGCUGGGAUUACAGGCGUGAGCCACUGCACCUGGCCAAACUUGAAGAAAUUAUUUCUAAUCCCCGGUCACAAAGAAAUUCCCUAAUAGAUUUUUUUCUCUAAACUUUUUAAACAUUUGCUGUUCACAUUUGCGUUCUUAAUCCUUCUGGAGCUGAUUCUUGUAUAUAGUGUAUGGUAGAGAUUCAGUUUUUUUUUCUUUUUGGAAGUCCAGUGUCUUAAAUCAUUCAUGAAGGAGUCCAUUUCCUGCACUGUGGUGCAAUGUCGCCUUGCUGAUCUAUCCCCUUCCCCACAGGUGGGGUGAUUUUAUGGGCUGUCUUUUCUGUUCCUGUAGUCUGUGUAUCCCUGCACUCUUGCCAGAUUAUGUUAAUGACUAUUGCUUUGUAGUCAGUGUUGAGGUCCCUAAAACAGGGGCCCUCCACCCCUGGGCCUCCCGGGCCUCCCGUGGCCUGGAAUGGGGGCUCCACAGCAGGAGGUGGGGAUUACAGCCUGAGCCCCGCCUCCCGUCAGACCAGCGGCAGUAUUAGAUUCUCAUAGGGGUGCAAACCCUAUUGUGAACUGCACAUGGAAAGGAUCUAGGUUGCAUGCUCCAAUGAGAAUCUAAUGUCCCCUGCCCACAGCCCGUGAAAAAUUGUCUUCCACAAAAUCAAUCCCUGGUGCCAAAACAUUUGGCCCUAUAACAUGAUUCUUCAGGAAUGUUUUAGGUAUUCUUGCCCUUUUAGGACUCCAUUUAGAAGCAUCCCCUCACAUUUGGAAAAGUGGAAAACCUUGUUGAAUGAGCUGAAGUGGUUAAAAUGAUUAUCAUAAAGGUAGAAACCAGUAAGUGCUCCAUAUACACCAUGGAAUACUAUGCAGCCAUAAAAAAAUGAGUUCAUGUCCUUUGCAGGGACAUGGAUGAAGCUGGAAACCAUCAUUCUCAGCAAACUAACACAGAAGCAGAAAACCAAACACCACAUGUUCUCACUCAUAAGUGGGAGUUGAACAGUGAGAACACAUGGACACAAGGAGGGGAACAUCACACACCGAGGCCUGUCAGGGAGUGGGGGACAAGAGGGAGAGAGAGCAUUGGGACAAAUACCAAAUGCAUGCACGGCUUAAAACCUAGAUGACAGGUUGAUGGGUGCAGCAAACCACCAUGGCACAUGUAUACCUGUGUAACAAACCUGCACGUUCUGCACAUGUAUCCCAGAACUUAUAAUAAAAAAGAAACCAGUAAGUGCUCAAUAAAUGUUACUAACAUCUAUUUCUUCAUUCAUUCUUCAACCAUUACCCACUGAGUGCCUAUUUGGAUACUUGGCUUAGUACCUGGGUGAUGAAAUAAUCUACAGCAAACCCCCAUGGCAUGAGUUUAUAACAAACCUGCACAUGUAUCCCCGAACUUAAAAGUUAAAAAAACAGAAUCUGCACAAGUCUAAGCUACUUCCUUGAGGAAAAGACUCGAGCUGAGAUCUCAAAGAAGAGUAGAAGUUGCAGGGGUAAAGAGGCCAAAGAAGAGUGUCUCAGAUGAGAGCGGCACGUGCAAAGGCCCUGUGGUGGGAGGAGCCUGGUAGCUCUGAGAAACUCCACAAAGGCACGGUGGUGGCUGGAAUGCAGAGAUGUGGGGGCACAUUGAAAACCUUGUUAAAGUGCUUAAAAUGAUUAUCAUAAAGGUAGAAACUAAUAAGUGCUAAAUAAAUGUUAUUCUCGUC
ensembl:lncRNA CRYBB2P1 crystallin beta B2 pseudogene 1